GCGCGGGUGGCGGGCAGCGGCGGCGGCGGGAGGGCCGCGGGGGCAGACAAAGCCGCGGCUAAUGAAUGGGAGCGCGUCCGCCUGCGCGUCCGUGGUCCGCAGACCGCGGGACCCGCCGCCGAGCCCUGCGCCCGCGGUCCCUGCCCCUCGGAGCUGUCGGAGAGGGACCGCCCAGAUGGGGAAGUGAGCUGUGGGCGGUGAAGAGCAGUGAUCAUGGUAAUGCAGGACCAUCAAGAUGGCGGCGAUCCUGUUUCCAAGGCAACAAGCAGGUCUGCACAGCAUGAAUUUGCACCUGCACCAAGAAGUACUUUAUACAACUCCUGGAAAGCGUGGUCUGCGCCCUGAGAUGAUGUGCUCCUGAGGACAAGCUUGCUCACUCAGAGGGCAGAGAACACAGUCCAAGGGAUGGACCUCGAGUGAUGGGCUGGCAGCGGUUCUUCGCGCUUGUUCACGUUGACUAUAGAACAGGUCCUGUGAGCAGUCAAACCCUGUGUUCCUGGGCUGCUGGCCAGGCUGCAGGAGACAGGCCCAGUGCUAACGGCUGGUGUUGCUCACAGCUGGUCCUGAUACCGAUGUUCCCUAUAGAGGAACGCAACUGGAAACGCGGCUGCUCUUGGCCAUCCCGCUGUAGCUCCUUCAGACCCGAGUGCCAACCUGUUCUCUUCCCUGCUGCAGCUGAUAGCUGGGCAGGAGGCCCUUCUCUGGUCACUCCUAAUAAAAAGCUC